rnacentral:tRNA from 1 species
GAGGAUAUAGUUCAGUGGUAAAGCAUGUGCUUAGCAUGCAUGAGGUCCUAGGUUCAAUCCUCAGUACCUCCG